AUAAUUGUAGCGUGUAAGUGUGGACAUGCAAUCAUGUAUUGGUAAUCUAAUAUUCCCAGUAUGAUGUAGUGGAUAAAGUGACAGACUAGGACUCUGGAGAACACGGUUCAAAUGCCCACUGAGCCAUGGAAACUCACUGGGCGGGGGUGAAACUGAUAAAACCACUCCUUAAAGAUCUCACUUACCUUGAAAGCUCUCUUAGGGUCACUAUAAGUCAGUUCAAACUUGACAGCACAGAGCAAACACAAUACAGCAUAGUAUAGUAUAAUAUAGCAUGGUAUAAUAAAAAUUCCAUAAUAUAUGUGUAUGUAAUUUUAUGCAGGUAUAUAUCUAUGUUUUUAAAAUAUGUAGCUGCAAAACAGAACAAGAGCUAUGCUUAUUUCUGAGUAAAUUUGUUCAGGACUGGCUCUUAAAACCCCAUUAGUUUCAGCCACAAUUCUUGAUCUUUAGUCAGUUUCAUCACUGGAUCUAAAUUAGACAACCCAAUCUCAUCAGUUUCUAGUCUGUUUCACAAUUUCACUGGCAAAAAAAGAGGCCACUUUAAUUUUCUCUCCUCAUUGGUAAGGUAUUUUACAUAUUUCUCCUUUCUCCCUUAGAUGUGGUUAAUCGUGUUUUUUAUCAUAUUGUUCCUCCCAAGAGCUCAGAGAAUGUUUAAUUCCCUCCCCACCCUUUCCUCAUAGCAGGCCUAUGAGAUAAGUUAGACCAGAGAUCUUAACAGGUCAAAGAAACUCAAGAAAUUUUGUAGCUGAGUGGAGAUUUGAACCCAAGAUUCUCUCACCUAAAGUCAAAACUCACUGUGGACACAAGGCUGCACAUUUCAGGACCAGGAAGGAAACCACAUCAGGGCUCCUCUUUCUCACUCCAUUGUUGUUUCCUCACAAUGCCUGGCAAAUAAUACUCUGUACUGCUCCCAGAAUUCCUGAGCCAGCCGGGUUCAAUCCAGACUUUUCCAAAUUCUUCAAAAACCAUUUUAAUGAAGGAUUUUUAUAUUUCCUGUAUGCUUCCAGCUGGAACAUCUAAUCAGCUAAUCCUAUGAACAGGUUUGCACGAAUAGAGCUGCAUUCCCAUAGGUUUGUCUGCUCUGUUUUUGGCACUGGAUUUCUUAAGUGCCCCGCAUUCCCAUAGGUUUGUCUGCUCUGUUUUGGGAUUUCUUAAAUGCCCCCAGUCCUGAAUUUACAGCUGCUGCCCUCCAAGCAACACAAAAUGCAACAUAACUGCUGGUGGUUUGUGUGUGUGCACGCAUGCAUGUUUUUUAUUAAUCAUGUAAAAAUUGAUUAAACUGCAAAAUUCAAAUGGCAUCAAAUU
rnacentral:lncRNA from 1 species